GGAAUAUUGGACAAUGGGCGCAAGCCUGAUCCAGCAAUGCCGCGUGUGUGAAGCAGGCCUUCGGGUUGUAAAGCACUUUUAUCGGGAGCGAAAAGCGACGGGUGAAUAUCCCGGCGUCAUGACGGUACCCGAGGAAUAAGCACCGGCUACAGUCGUGCCAGCAGCCGCGGUAAGACGAAGGGUGCAAGCGUUAGUCGGAAUUACUGGGCGUAAAGCGUGCGUAGGCGGUUGGUUAAGUCGGAUGUGAAAGCCCUGGGCUCAACCUGGGAAUGGCACUCGAUACUGGCCAGCUGGAGUAAGGUAGAGGAUGGUGGAAUUCCCGGUGUAGCGGUGAAAUGCGUAGAGAUCGGGAGGAACAUCUGUGGCGAAGGCGGCCAUCUGGACCAUUACUGACGCUGAGGCACGAAAGCGUGGGGAGCAAA
rnacentral:rRNA from 1 species